AUUGAACGCUGGCGGCAUGCCUUACACAUGCAAGUCGAACGGCAGCACGGGUGCUUGCACCUGGUGGCGAGUGGCGAACGGGUGAGUAAUACAUCGGAACGUACCUUAUCGUGGGGGAUAACGCAGCGAAAGCUGUGCUAAUACCGCAUACGCCCUGAGGGGGAAAGCGGGGGAUCGCAAGACCUCGCGCGAUUAGAGCGGCCGAUGCCUGACUAGCGUGUUGGUGGGGUAAAAGCCCACCAAGGCGACGAUCAGUAGCUGGUCUGAGAGGACGAUCAGCCACACUGGGACUGAGACACGGCCCAGACUCCUACGGGAGGCAGCAGUGGGGAAUUUUGGACAAUGGGGGCAACCCUGAUCCAGCAAUGCCGCGUGAGUGAAGAAGGCCUUCGGGUUGUAAAGCUCUUUUGUCAGGGAAGAAACACCGGCUCUAACACAGUCUGGGAAUGACGGUACCUGAAGAAUAAGCACCGGCUAACUACGUGCCAGCAGCCGCGGUAA
rnacentral:rRNA from 1 species